UCACAGCUGAGGAGUCCCAUAAUAGGACGAAACGGCCGUUCAGUGU
rfam:Schistosoma curassoni strain Dakar, Senegal genome assembly, scaffold: SCTD_scaffold0003319